GAAGUUUGACCAUUCACAUGCUCAGAUAUGUGAAUACACACACACACACACACACACACACACACACACACACUUCUGAG